rnacentral:rRNA from 1 species
GACAUCCAGAGAAUUUAGCAGAGAUGCUUUAGUGCCUUCGGGAACUCUGAGACAGGUGCUGCAUGGCUGUCGUCAGCUCGUGUUGUGAAAUGUUGGGUUAACGUCCGCAACGAGCGCAACCCUUAUCCUUUGUUGCCAGCACGUAAUGGUGGGAACUCAAAGGAGACUGCCGGUGAUAAACCGGAGGAAGGUGGGGAUGACGUCAAGUCAUCAUGGCCCUUACGAGUAGGGCUACACACGUGCUACAAUGGCGCAUACAAAGAGAAGCGACCUCGCGAGAGCAAGCGGACCUCAUAAAGUGCGUCGUAGUCCGGAUUGGAGUCUGCAACUCGACUCCAUAAAGUCGGAAUCGCUAGUAAUCGUAAAUCAGAAUGUUACGGUGAAUACGUUCCCGGGCCUUGUACACACCGCCCGUCACACCAUGGGAGUGGGUUGCAAAAGAAGUAGAUAGCUUAACCUUCGGGAGGGCGUUUACCACUUUGUGAUUCAUGACUGGGGUGAAGUCGUAACAAGGUAAGCGUAGUGCU